rnacentral:rRNA from 1 species
UACAGAGGGUGCAAGCGUUAAUCGGAAUUACUGGGCGUAAAGCGUGCGUAGUCGGUUAUUUAAGUCGGGCGUGAAAGCCCCGGGCUCAACCUGGGAAUUGCGUUCGAUACUGGAUAGCUAGAGUUCGGCAGAGGGAAGCGGAAUUUCGGGUGUAGCGGUGAAAUGAGUAGAUAUCCGAAGGAACAUCAGUGGCGAAAGCGGCUUCCUGGACCAGAACUGACGAUCAGGCACGAAAGCGUGGGGAGCAAACAGG